rnacentral:rRNA from 1 species
ACUCAAAUGAAUUGACGGGGACCCGCACAAGCAGUGGAGCGUGUGGUUUAAUUCGACACAAAACGAAAAACCUCACCAGGGUUUGACAUGUAUCUGCAAAUCCUAGGAAACUAGGACUCUUUCGAAGGUGAUACACAGAUGCUGCAUGGCUGUCGUCAGCUCGUGGCGUGAGCUGUACCAUUAAGUUGGGAAACGAGCGCAACCCUCACCGUAUGUUAAAUUAUCCAUGCGGAACAGCCCGGCUUUUCGCCGGGAGGAAGGCGAGGAUGAUGUCAAGUCAGCACGGUUCUUACACCCUGGGCUACACACACACUACAAUGGCGAAAAACAACGAGUUGCCACUCUGUAAAGGGAAGCUAAUCUCUGAAAUUUCGCCUCAGUUCGGAUUGAGGGCUGCAACCUGCCCUCAUGAAGUCGGAAUUGCUAGUAAUCGCGGAUCAGCAUGCCGCGGUGAAUACGUUCUCGGGUCUUGUACACACCGCCCGU